UACAUGGGGUGCAAACGUUGCUCGGAAUUAUUGGGCGUAAAGCGCGCGUAGGCGGUUAUCUAAGUCGGAUGUGAAAGCCCUCGGCUUAACUGAGGAAGUGCACCCGAAACUGGAUAGCUAGAGUACGAAAGAGGGUCGCGGAAUUCCCGGUGUAGAGGUGAAAUUCGUAGAUAUCGGGAGGAACACCGGUGGCGAAGGCGGCGACCUGGGUAGAUACUGACGCUGAGGUGCGAAAGCGUGGGGAGCAAACAGG
rnacentral:rRNA from 1 species